CGUCACCGGGGGGGCGUGGUCAAUCGAAGCUGUGGUGUGUGGGUUUUUUUCCCCUCCCCCAUCUAUCCCCUUCUUAGGAAAAGAUCGUUAGACUCUUAUAUUUUCCGGGAUGAGGUUUAAGAGUUUAAAGUGCGCAUGCGUUCAAUGAAGACUAAUAAGAAUUGGCGCCUUCUGCGGGAAGUCACUCGUGGUGUUAAAAUAAUAGGAAGAGAAGAAGCUCUAUGAAACCAGUACUCCAGGAUUCAAGUUCAGAUCUUGUGCUCUUUUGAAUUACUUUAAAGCGGACAAAGAUAACAUUCUUACAACAGAGGAUUUUGAUUUUACUAUGGCUGUUCAGAGGAAUACACGGUUAAGAACCAAAAGAUCUUCUACCAGAAAGGCAAGCACAGAAAUUGAGAGUUGCAUUUCUAGGAGUCCCGUUUCACUCUCUGGAUUAGGGAAAAGUGAAGGAGAUUGUAAAUCUUCUCUAGAAAAUAACUUGGAACUUCUAUCCGACACUAGAGAACCAGAAAUUCCUGCUACCUGUUUGCAGGAUGGGCCUAAUACCAGAGAUAUUUCUAAGGACUGUUUUUUGAAAAGUGAUAAAAAUGGUACUAUUCAAAGGAAGAUUCAAGUUAGAAAAUCUAAAAAGUCUUCUGAAAUAAGGAAUAUCACUCAUGGCCAAAACAAAAUACAGAGACUAUCAGCGUGUAAAGAACAGGCACAAAGCAGUAAACGUGCCAUAUGUAAGAACAAAAUGUGUGUACUUAAUAGUGAUUCCAGUGAAAACAAAGUAUGCCGAAGAAGUUCAAGGAAAAGAAAAAUAUGUUUUAAGGAUGAACUGUUGUUUGAACCAAAAACAGAGCAGAACGAUAAACAGAUUGAACCUUUCUUAGAACACCAAACAAGCACAGAAAUAUCAAAAUGUACUGAGCGUUCUUGCAGCAGAAUCACUGCAGCUGCUAAUAAAAAGCUUUCAGUAGUGGAAAUGCAAAGAAAUGUGAUGGCUUCAGAGAGUGCAAGUGAACAGAGGGCUUCCACUAUGGAUGUUACUGUUUUCCAGAUGUGCGAAGAGAAACCUUUUACAUCAACCAAAAAGAGCCGUACUCAAAGAACCCAAGUGGAAAGAUGGAAAACCAGUCCAUAUUUUUCCAGAAAAUUAAUCAAAGAAGCUCCAAGUCCACCAAGAAGGAAAGCUUUUAGGAAAUGGACUCCACCUCGUUCUCCUUUUAAUCUGGUUCAGGAAACACUGUUUCAUGAUCCAUGGAAACUUCUGAUUGCAACUAUAUUUUUGAACAAAACCUCAGGAAAGAUGGCUAUCCCUGUGCUGUGGGAAUUUUUUAAGAAAUAUCCUUCACCAAAUGUAGCAAGAACUACCAACUGGAAAGAAAUGUCAGAAUUGCUUAAACCUCUUGGCCUAUAUAAACUCAGAGCAAAGACCAUUGUUAAAUUUUCAGGUAAUAUCUAUAAUAUUCCAUAUGUUUCAUGUAUAUUAUCUCAUAAACCUUGGUACAGUUAUAUAUCAGUAUUUGUAUUUUUUAUUGUGGUUGGAAGACCAAAACUGAGGAAUGAUAGUUUGCCAAAGACCUCUUAAUACAUUCAUGAUUGAGACAUGAAGUGGAAAUUUGUUUCAUAUAUUUGAAGCAGGGGUGAAAUGCUCCCGGAUCGGACCAGAUCGCGCGAUCUGGUAGCGAUCAUGACUGGUAGUUCAGCGAUCCGGUAGCAAUGGCAGACCAAAGCUCGGCGCACCCCCCCAGGUGCCAUUACUUCCUGGUUUUAACCAGGAAGUAAUGUGUUUUUUACCUUCUGCGCAUGCACAGAAGGUCUGCGCAUGCAUGUGAUGCAAGCAAAGUGCGCACGCGUGGGGCACGUGCACUUCCGAACCGGCGAGGAAGAUGAAUAUUUGGUUAAGCAGUGGAAAUAUCCAAUUGAAUUACAUGGAAUUGGAAAAUAUGGAAAUGAUUCUUACAGAAUUUUCUGUGUGAAUGAAUGGAAAGAGG